UAGCUCAGUGGUAGAGCAUGUGCUUAGCACUCACAAGGUCCUGGGUUCAAUGCCCAG
rnacentral:tRNA from 1 species